UUUCCGUAGGUGAACCUGCGGAAGGAUCAUUACCGAGUGAGGGCCCUCUGGGUCCAACCUCCCACCCGUGUUUAUUUUACCUUGUUGCUUCGGCGGGCCCGCCUUAACUGGCCGCCGGGGGGCUUACGCCCCCGGGCCCGCGCCCGCCGAAGACACCCUCGAACUCUGUCUGAAGAUUGAAGUCUGAGUGAAAAUAUAAAUUAUUUAAAACUUUCAACAACGGAUCUCUUGGUUCCGGCAUCGAUGAAGAACGCAGCGAAAUGCGAUACGUAAUGUGAAUUGCAAAUUCAGUGAAUCAUCGAGUCUUUGAACGCACAUUGCGCCCCCUGGUAUUCCGGGGGGCAUGCCUGUCCGAGCGUCAUUGCUGCCCUCAAGCCCGGCUUGUGUGUUGGGCCCCGUCCCCCGAUCUCCGGGGGACGGGCCCGAAAGGCAGCGGCGGCACCGCGUCCGGUCCUCGAGCGUAUGGGGCUUUGUCACCCGCUCUGUAGGCCCGGCCGGCGCUUGCCGAUCAACCCAAAUUUUUAUCCAGGUUGACCUCGGAUCAGGUAGGGAUACCCGCUGAACUUAAGCAUAUCAAUAGGCGG
rnacentral:rRNA from 1 species